rnacentral:rRNA from 1 species
GAUAAACGCUGGCGGCGUGCUUAACACAUGCAAGUCGAACGAAGUUUUUCCUUCGGGAGAAACUUAGUGGCGGACGGGUGAGUAACGCGUGGGUAACUAGCCCUGUACAGGGGGACAACAGCUGUAAACGGCUGCUAAUACCGCAUAAGCACUUAGCACUGCAUGGUGCAUAGGGAAAAGGAGCAAUCCGGUACAGGAUGGACCCGCGUCUGUUUAGCCAGUUGGCAGGGUAACUGCCUACCAAAGCGACGAUCAGUAGCCGAUCUGAGAGGAUGUACGGCCACAUUGGGACUGAGACACGGCCCAGACUCCUACGGGAGGCAGCAGUGGGGAAUAUUGCACAAUGGAGGAAAAUCUGAUGCAGCGACGCCGCGUAAGUGAAGAAGUAUUUCGGUAUGUAAAGCUCUAUCAGCAGGGAAGAAAAUGACGGUACCUGACUAAGAAGCACCGGCUAAAUACGUG